rnacentral:rRNA from 1 species
UACGGGGGGGGCAAGCGUUGUUCGGAAUUACUGGGCGUAAAGGGCCAGUAGGCGGCCAACUAAGUCCGACGUGAAAUCCCCAGGCUUAACCUGGGAACUGCGUCGGAUACUGGAUGGCUUGAAUUCGGGAGAGGGAUGCAGAAUUCCAGGUGUAGCGGUGAAAUGCGUAGAUAUCUGGAAGAACACCCGUGGCUAAGGCGGCUCUCUAGUACGGUACUGACGCUGAGACGCGAAAGCGUGGGGAGCGAACAGG